UACCCAUGAUGUGGACAAUUCAAGAGUAGCCCAUUGAAUCGCUCCCACGUUUCGAAAAACUGCUCGUCAUCUCUCUGGGUAAACUCCGAGAUUUCCCUGCUAAUAGCA
rfam:Citrus clementina cultivar Clemenules unplaced genomic scaffold scaffold_9, whole genome shotgun sequence.